rnacentral:rRNA from 1 species
GACGAACGCUGGCGGCGUGCUUAACACAUGCAAGUCGAACGGAAAGGCCCUGCUUUUGUGGGGUGCUCGAGUGGCGAACGGGUGAGUAACACGUGAGUAACCUGCCCUUGACUUUGGGAUAACUUCAGGAAACUGGGGCUAAUACCGGAUAGGAGCUCCUGCUGCAUGGUGGGGGUUGGAAAUUUUCGGCGGUUGGGGAUGGACUCGCGGCUUAUCAGCUUGUUGGUGGGGUAGUGGCUUACCAAGGCUUUGACGGGUAGCCGGCCUGAGAGGGUGACCGGCCACAUUGGGACUGCGAUAGGGCCCAGAGUCCUACGGGAGGCAGCAGUGGGGAAUAUUGCACAAUGGGCGGAAGCCUGAUGCAGCAGCGCCGCGUGCGGGAUGACGGCCUUUGGGUUGUAAACCGCUUUCGCCUGUGACGACGCGUGAGUGACGGUAAUGGGUAAAGAAGCACCGGCUAACUACGUG